rnacentral:rRNA from 1 species
AUUGAACGCUGGCGGCACGCUUUACACAUGCAAGUCGAGCGGUCAAAAUGAGGGGGCUUGCCCCCGAAAGACGAGCGGCGGACGGGUGAGUAACGCAUGGGAAUGCGCCCAGUAGUGGGGGACAACCCUGGGAAACCAGGGCUAAUACCGCAUGUUUUCCACGGAACAAAGCGGGGGACUUCUUCGGAAACCUCGCGCUAUUGGAGCAGCCCAUGUCCGAUUAGCUUGUUGGCGGGGUAACGGCCCACCAAGGCGACGAUCGGUAGCUGGUCUGAGAGGAUGAUCAGCCACACCGGGACUGAGACACGGCCCGGACUCCUACGGGAGGCAGCAGUGGGGAAUAUUGGACAAUGGGGGCAACCCUGAUCCAGCGAUGCCGCGUGAGUGAAGAAGGCCUUCGGGUUGUAAAGCUCUUUCGCAGGGAAAGAAAAAACGCGGGCGAACAGGCCGCGUCCAUGACGGUACCCUGAGAAGAAGCGCCGGCUAACUUCGUGCCAGCAGCCGCGGUAAUACGGGGGGCGCAAGCGUUAAUCGGAAUUACUGGGCGUAAAGCGUGCGUAGGCGGCCGAGCAAGUCAGAUGUGAAAGCCCCGGGCUCAACCCGGGAAUUGCGUCCGAAACUGCCCGGCUAGAGUUCGGCAGAGGAAGGUGGAAUUCCGCGUGUAGCGGUGAAAUGCGUAGAGAUGCGGAAGAACGCUAAUGGCGAAGGCAUCCUUCUGGGCCGACACUGACGCUGAGUCACGAAAGCGUGGGGAGCAAACAGGAUUAGAUACCCUGGUAGUCCACGCCCUAAACGAUGCCCGCUAGCUGUCGGGGGGAUUUCCCCCCGGUAGCGAAGCUAACGCGUUAAGCGGGCCG